UACGUAGGGGGCUAGCGUUGUCCGGAUUUAUUGGGCGUAAAGAGCGUGUAGGCGGCCAUGUAGGUCCGGUGUGAAAACUCGAGGCUUAACCUCGAGAUGUCAUCGGAAACCAUUUGGCUAGAGUCCGGAAGAGGAGAGUGGAAUUCCUGGUGUAGCGGUGGAAUGCGCAGAUAUCAGGAAGAACACCAAUGGCGAAAGCAGCUCUCUGGGACGGUACUGACGCUGAGACGCGAAAGCGUGGGGAGCGAACAGG
rnacentral:rRNA from 1 species